UGGCGAACGGGUGAGUAACACGUGAGUAACCUGCCCACAACUUUGGGAUAACGCUAGGAAACUGGUGCUAAUACUGGAUAUGUGCUCCUGCUGCAUGGUGGGGGUUGGAAAGCUCCGGCGGUUGUGGAUGGACUCGCGGCCUAUCAGCUUGUUGGUGGGGUGGUGGCCUACCAAGGCGGCGACGGGUAGCCGGCCUGAGAGGGUGACCGGCCACAUUGGGACUGAGAUACGGCCCAG
rnacentral:rRNA from 1 species